AAAAUUACAUCCACAACAUUUUAAAAUCAAAGCAUUAACGAAUACUCUAAACAUAAUGGAUUACUUAAAAUUAGAAUACAAUUUUUACUUCCAAGUCUGCGACGUGUUGUUUUGUCGCCAGCAAGGUAGACUUUUUCACGUGAAUUUUCGACUCGAUUUCAGUGGAAUAGCGGCGCCAGGUGCACCAAAUAAAGAGUUGGCCAACCGUUUCCACAUAAAAUCAACGAACAUUUUCACUUAUUAACAACAAUGAAUGCUCGCCAUAAAAAAGAGGAAAAUAAUACUAGCAUUCAAUAUUUGAAUAAAGCAAAAUGAAAAUGUGACUGUGACUAUUUCGAAUGAAACAUUAAAAUUCCAUUAGCGGAUGCGUUGCACAUAAA